rnacentral:misc_RNA from 1 species
CUCAACAAGCAGUGGAGAAUACUCGCCUAUGUUGGUGAUUUUUCUGAAUUUCUUUUCCAUAUCAUCAGACAUAUGUUCACCUUUUUUCCACUUGCUAAUUUGAGUGGAGGAAACCCCUAGCUUUCCAGCAAGUUCUUUUUGGCUGCAUUUAAGGAUAUCUAAGGCUAGGCGUACAAAGUGUUCACUGUUCAUUUUUCUACCUUUUUAGUAAAUAAAACCGUUAAUUAAGUGAAUUUAUUAUUGAUUUUAUUUUAGUAAAUUUCAAUUUAGUUUUACUUAAAAAUUAUGUGAGCCUAAGCUGGCAAUAAAAAAGGC